GGGGGCGGAGGGGGCCUGGUGGUCCUCCUGGUCUUCAAAACCAGUGCGCCCUGACCAGGUCAGGGUGGGUGGGUUCGACUCCCACACGCUCCCGCCA
rnacentral:tRNA from 1 species